UGCAUCCCCCUUCUUUCCUUCCUUUCUUUCUUCAUUCCUAAUUACCUGGUUUGUCACUGUCUUCACCUUACCUUCUUUUCAUCUUCAUCCUUUCUUUUGAAUCCCAGAUUUCCAUGUAAAGUAUCGUAAGACACAAGACACAAAAUACAGGUAUUUAGUUUCAUUUCUUUCAGGCUUCAGCCAAGGAAGAGGGCUCAGAGGAACACAAGAAAGAAACCAUGCCUUGAAAUCCAUACCAAAGAGGUUCCUCGAAGUUCAUUGAGACUAAGAGGGAGGAAGCCCAUUGAUCCAAAUUCACUGCUAUCUUCUCCAUCCUCAUCAAGUUCUGUUGUCAUUGAGGAUUUCAACAGUCAGUCCACGAGGAGUAUUCCUUCUCAUCCUCCUCUGUAUCGCUCAACACCUCAGGUCCAAAGUGAGCCAAGUACUCCAAGACCAGGUAGUUCUGCAUUUUACAAACGUAAAUUCAAAGGUU
rnacentral:lncRNA from 1 species